rnacentral:lncRNA from 1 species
AGGAAUUAACAUAGUUCAAACUGUGAAAAUUGUUGACUAUUUAAUGAGUUUCUCUUGGGCUUUCAAAAGAAAAAAAUAAGUCACAUGUGAAACAUCUCUGACCAUGACUUAUGUGGUAGCUAUCUCUCUGGCUUGAGUUUUGUUUGUUUGAUAAACGUUUGACUCAAACUUGUUUGAGUAUGUUAGCAUGCAAGUAGUUGAAGAAUUUCAUUCUACCUUUAGACCUGGUGAAAGUUGAUGCUGUAUGUUCUGAGCCAGGGCUGCACAAAAAAACACCUUUGCCUGUGAGAUGAAGAGGUGGUCUUCCUCCAAAUGUGAGCUGUGGGGGCUUCCACACACCCUGUUUCAGUGAAUUUCUGUAAGGGAAAGUGAGAGGGAACUGCAAUGGAGUGUGUAUGGGGCUUCAGCAAUAAAAGAAGAUAAAAAUAGGAGGAUUAAAUGGAUAUUCCUGUUUUGAAUCACGCUACUGAAAGAUGUUUGACCUCCUUCUGUGUAAAAGUUGAUGGAUCAUUUUUAAUAAAUCUGCUUCCAACUGGGCUACACAAUAAGGGUGCAAGGGAAUUAAACCUGGGGCUCUUGUCAGGACGAGGUUAGCCGUGAGCCACCUUGCCGCCCAGAAGUUUCUCCUCCCUGUGCGCCUCUUCCCCAAGAAUCCUCCGCUGUCCGGCAAUUAACAAGGAACAAGGGUAAAAGCUCGCAGUGCUUUCUCCGGACGACAGGAAAGGCUGGAGGAAAUGCCACCGAAGGGAUUUUUUUCUUCUCUCCGUGGGGUCGGCGCGCUGCCGCCCUGCCCGCCAUGGCCGCCCCUCGCCCGCUGCGCCGCGGGCGGCCUGCAGGGGGUGCAAGAGCUCCACUGAAG